rnacentral:rRNA from 1 species
GAAUACCUACGGGACGCAGCAGUAGGGAAUCUUCGGCAAUGGACGAAAGUCUGACCGAGCAACGCCGCGUGAGUGAAGAAGGUUUUCGGAUCGUAAAACUCUGUUGGUAGAGAAGAACGUUGGUGAGAGUGGAAAGCUCAUCAAGUGACGGUAACUACCCAAAAAGGGACGGCUAACUACGUGCCAGCAGCCGCGGUAAUACGUAGAUCCCGAGCGUUGUCCGGAUUUAUUGGGCGUAAAGCGAGCGCAGGUGGUUUAUUAAGUCUGGUGU